AGAGAGAGAGAGAGAGAGAGAUGUAUGCAAUUUGCUGUGAAGGUGAGGGAAUAUUUUGCUUUGUGAAGUUGUUAACACAGGUGUUGUAUAUAUACAAAUUAUAAAGAUCAGGAAGGCUUAGCAAACUCAUCAAAGGCUGAUUAAUAUUUAAACACUAUUUGAAGUAUCCAUGACCACAACAAGAAAGCUUAUUUUCUAAUUUCCUUGUAGAAGCUUCAAUACAGGCUGCAAAAUAUCAUAUCAUUUCUGUAAAUCUUCUUCUCAGUGCAGUUUGAAUAAAUCAAGCAUUUCAUUUUUUUAAAGAAUAAAUAAAAGGAACAGUUGAUUUUAUUAUUUGGGUUCACUUUCAUAUAGGCAGGUAUGUCUCUCAUCUGGUAAUUAUUUUAUUUUAUGACAACUUUACCCUCCGUUUUACACUAUUUAAACCAAUAUCAAGUUUUGUUUGAAGGGUACUUUGGGUAUUAGAUGGACAAGGCAGUCAAACCAGCGAUUGAGGUCUAUAUCUGCAAGACUGCAACAACACGGGCCUUUUUCCCGUGCUCGAUGAAACCUCACAAUGAAAGAUAAUUUAAUGAUUAAAAAAUAUAUUAUAUAAUUUUAUUUUUUA
rnacentral:misc_RNA from 1 species